rnacentral:misc_RNA from 1 species
GAUGAAGAACGUAGUGAAAUGCGAUAAGUAAUGCGAAUUGCAGAAUUUCCGUGAGUUAUCGAAUCUUUGAACGCACAUUGCGCCCACUGGUAUUCCGGUGGGCAUGCCUGUUCGAGCGUCAUUAUCCUCCCUCAAACCCCGGGUUUGGUGUUGGACCCAAGUUGUGUGAACAACUGGUCUCAAAGACAAUGACGGCGUCCGUGGGACCCUCGGUGCAACGAGCUUUUAGGAGCACGCAUCGAGUUGCAAGGACCUUCCGGGCCGGUCUCCUUUACCAUUUUACAAGGUUGACCUCGGAUCAGGUAGGAAUACCCGCUGAACUUAAGCAUAUCAAUAAGCGGAGGA